UUGGGGCUACCAAUUUACCCAAGUUGUGAGCUCGGCUGUUAAAAGCAUGUGAAAAUUCCCAGAUGUCACCAUAACCGGUGCUAAGCAGUGCUGGGGGGGAGAGGUACAAGUGGGAGACAGACAAACUGAGUUAGUCUAAACAGACAAGCUGAGUUCACAUGCUUCAAGGCCUGUCUUGAAAUGAUGCGUGUGAAAAACAGGAGAUGUGGCGCUGGAAGUGAAUGGGACAAAACUGGUUACAAAAGGUGUCCUGGGGCGUUUGCCACAGUGCGAAGCUGGUGGAGGUCUCCAGGGGCCAAGCCGGUGGAGGUCUCCAGGGGCCUGGCUUAACAGAGUCACGUCUGACUGCGAAGUGGGGGUGCAGGACCCUGUGGCUUCCCCAGGACCCCGCCAGGGCGGACUCGCUGUGGGAAGCGCACGGAGGGGCAGAGGAUGCUGAAUGUUCCAAGGUCAGACCCAGGAA